rnacentral:lncRNA from 1 species
UGAUUCUUGCAAUGGGAGAAGUGCUUGGUUUUGGGUUCUACCAUGUGGUGACCUUUCCCAGUGACAGUAGGGGCAGCAAGGCACACAUCAAGUAGUUGCCAUCAAGGGUAAAAAGAUGGGGUUUUCAUCAUUGGUUUGAGAUUAUCCCUCCACAUCAUGUCAUCUUGCUUAAGGCGUUACUCUAUUCUUGUGGACUUAAUACACUAGAUGCAUGCUGGAUAGCGGUCGACGUGUGGAGUAAUAGUAGUAGAUGCAGAAAGUAUCGGUCUACUUGUUUUGGACGUGAUGCCUAUAGAUAUAAUCAUUGCCAUAGAUAUCGUCACGACUUUGCGCGGUUCUAUCAAUUGCUCGACAGUAAUUUGUUCACCCACCGUCUACUUGCUUUCAUGAGAGAAGCCACUAGUAAACACUACGGCCCCAGGUCUAUUC